AUUGAACGCUGGCGGCAUGCCUUACACAUGCAAGUCGAACGGCAGCACGGGGCAACCUGGUGGCGAGUGGCGAACGGGUGAGUAAUGCAUCGGAACGUACCUUUCAGUGGGGGAUAACGUAGCGAAAGUUACGCUAAUACCGCAUAUUCUGUGAGCAGGAAAGCAGGGGAUCGCAAGACCUUGCGCUGAUUGAGGGGCCGAGGUCCAAUUAGCUAGUUGGUGAGGUAAAGGCUAACCAAGGCGACGAUCUGUAGCGGGUCUGAGAGGAUGAUCCGCCACACUGGAACUGAGACACGGUCCAGACUCCUACGGGAGGCAGCAGUGGGGAAUUUUGGACAAUGGGGGCAACCCUGAUCCAGCCAUGCCGCGUGAGUGAAGAAGGCCUUCGGGUUGUAAAGCUCUUUCGGCCGGGAAGAAAUCGCACGGGCUAAUACCCUGUGUGGAUGACGGUACCGGAAUAAGAAGCACCGGCUAACUACGUGCCAGCCGCCGCAGUAACAC
rnacentral:rRNA from 1 species